rnacentral:rRNA from 1 species
CGAAGGUCCCAAGCGUUAUCCGGAUUUAUUGGGUUUAAAGGGUGCGUAGGCGGCUUAUUAAGUCAGUGGUGAAAGCUCCAUGCUUAACAUGGAAAUUGCCAUUGAUACUGAUGAGCUUGAGUAGAUUUGAAGUGGGCGGAAUGUGUCGUGUAGCGGUGAAAUGCUUAGAUAUGACACAGAACACCGAUUGCGUAGGCAGCUCACUAGACUCUUACUGACGCUGAGGCACGAAAGCAUGGGGAUCAAACAGGAUUAGAUACCCUGGUAGUCCAUGCCCUAAACGAUGAUUACUCGAUGUGUGCGAUAUACUGUACGCGUCUGAGCGAAAGCAUUAAGUAAUCCACCUGGGGGAGUACGGCCGCAAGGCUG